AGCAGCCGCGGUAAUUCCAGCUCCAAUAGCGUAUAUUAAAGUUGUUGCAGUUAAAAAGCUCGUAGUUGAAUUUCGGGAUUGACGUGAUGGUCGUGCCUUACGGGGUAUGAACUGUUGCUGUUGAUUUCUCACCUUCUGGAGAAACUUGAUGUCCUUAAUUGGGUGUCUUGCGGAUCCAGGACCUUUACCUUGAAAAAAUUAGAGUGUUUAAAGCAGGCAUUUUGCUCGAAUACAUUAGCAUGGAAUAAUAGAAUAGGACGGCAUGGUUCUAUUUUGUUGGUUUCUAGGAUCACCGUAAUGAUUAAUAGGGAUAGUUGGGGGCAUUAGUAUUCAAUUGUCAGAGGUGAAAUUCUUGGAUUUAUUGAAGACUAACUACUGCGAAAGCAUUUGCCAAGGAUGUUUUCAUUAAUCAAGAACGAAAGUUAGGGGAUCGAAGACGAUCAGAUACCGUCGUAGUCUUAACCAUAAACUAUGCCGACUAGGGAUCGGACGAUGUUAAUUU
rnacentral:rRNA from 1 species